rnacentral:rRNA from 1 species
GAUGAACGCUGGCGGCGUGCCUAAUACAUGCAAGUCGAGCGAACAGACGAGGAGCUUGCUCCUCUGACGUUAGCGGCGGACGGGUGAGUAACACGUGGAUAACCUACCUAUAAGACUGGGAUAACUUCGGGAAACCGGAGCUAAUACCGGAUAAUAUAUUGAACCGCAUGGUUCAAUAGUGAAAGACGGUUUUGCUGUCACUUAUAGAUGGAUCCGCGCCGCAUUAGCUAGUUGGUAAGGUAACGGCUUACCAAGGCAACGAUGCGUAGCCGACCUGGGAGGGUGAUCGGCCACAGUGGAACUGAGACACGGUCCAGACUCCUACGGGAGGCAGCAGUAGGGAAUCUUCCGCAAUGGGCGAAAGCCUGACGGAGCAACGCCGCGUGAGUGAUGAAGGUCUUCGGAUCGUAAAACUCUGUUAUUAGGGAAGAACAAAUGUGUAAGUAACUAUGCACGUCUUGACGGUACCUAAUCAGAAAGCCACGGCUAACUACGUG